CAGUAGCCACGGUAAUACGAGGGGGGCAAGCGUUGUUCGGAAUUACUGGGCGUAAAGCGCACGUAGGCGGAUCGAUCAGUCAGGGGUGAAAUCCCAGGGCUCAACCCUGGAACUGCCUUUGAUACUGUCGAUCUGGAGUAUGGAAGAGGUGAGUGGAAUUCCGAGUGUAGAGGUGAAAUUCGUAGAUAUUCGGAGGAACACCAGUGGCGAAGGCGGCUAACUGGUCCAUAACUGACGCUGAGGUGCGAAAGCGUGGGGAGCAAACAGGAUUAGAUACCCCAGUAGUCCCUGUCUCUUAUAA
rnacentral:rRNA from 1 species